UGGGGAAUUUUGGACAAUGGGCGAAAGCCUGAUCCAGCAAUGCCGCGUGUGUGAAGAAGGCCUUCGGGUUGUAAAGCACUUUUUGUCCGGGAAAGAAAUCCUUGGCUCUAAUACAGUCGGGGGAUGACGGUACCGGAAGAAUAAGCACCGGCUAACUACGUGCCAGCAGCCGCGGUAAUACGUAGGGUGCAAGCGUUAAUCGGAAUUACUGGGCGUAAAGCGUGCGCAGGCGGUUUGCUAAGACCGAUGUGAAAUCCCCGGGCUCAACCUGGGAACUGCAUUGGUGACUGGCAGGCUAGAGUAUGGCAGAGGGGGGUAGAAUUCCACGUGUAGCAGUGAAAUGCGUAGAGAUGUGGAGGAAUACCGAUGGCGAAGGCAGCCCCCUGGGCCAAUACUGACGCUCAUGCACGAAAGCGUGGGGGAGCAAACAGGAUUAGAUACCCUGGUAGUCCACGCCCUAAACGAUGUCAACUAGUUGUUGGGGAUUCAUUUCCUUAGUAACGUAGCUAACGCGUGAAGUUGACCGCCUGGGGGAGUACGGUCGCAAGAUU
rnacentral:rRNA from 1 species